AAGGUAGGUGUCCUGAUAAGUGGGAAGUGAAAUCCUGCGGCUCAACCGCAGAAUUGCUUUUCAAACUAUCAGGAUUGAGUGCGAAAGAGGAAAGCGGAAUUCUCGGUGUAAGGGUGAAAUCUGUUGAUAUCGAGAGGAACACCAGCAGCGAAGGCGGCUUUCUGGUUCGCAACUGACACUGAGCUUCGAAAGCUAGGGGAGCGAACAGGAUUAGAUACCCUGGUAGUCC
rnacentral:rRNA from 1 species